GGCGCUGUGGCCGUGCGGGGGAGCGGCGCGGGCGGCGUCGGACGACGAGUACGUGAGCGAGACGAAGGACGUGAUCGGGAAGGUGCGGUCGACGAUCAACAUGGACAGGGCGGACCCCGGGGUGGCGGACGCGGUGGCGGAGCUCCGCGAGCUGUCCAACUCGUGGGUGGCCAAGUACCGCAGGGAGAAGUCGCUGCUGGGCCGCCCGUCCUUCAGGGAGAUGUACUCCGCGCUCAACGCCGUGUCGGGCCACUACAUCAGCUUCGGCCCCACGGCCCCCAUCCCCAACAAGCGCCGCGCCCGCAUCCUCGAGGAGAUGGACACCGCCGAGAAGGCCCUGCUCCGCGGCCGGUG
rnacentral:misc_RNA from 1 species